UGGGGAAUAUUGAACAAUGGGCGCAAGCCUGAUGCAGCCAUGCCGCGUGUAUGAAGAAGGCCUUCGGGUUGUAAAGUACUUUCAGCGGGGAGGAAGGCGAUAAGGUUAAUAACCUUGUCGAUUGACGUUACCCGCAGAAGAAGCACCGGCUAACUCCGUGCCAGCAGCCGCGGUAAUACGGAGGGUGCACGCGUUAAUCGGCAUUACUGGGCGUAAAGCGCACGCAGGCGGUCUGUCAAGUCGGAUGUGAAAUCCCCGGGCUCAACCUGGGAACUGCAUUCGAAACUGGCAGGCUAGAGUCUUGUAGAGGGGGGUAGAAUUCCAGGUGUAGCGGUGAAAUGCGUAGAGAUCUGGAGGAAUACCGGUGGCGAAGGCGGCCCCCUGGACAAAGACUGACGCUCAGGUGCGAAAGCGUGGGGAGCAAACA
rnacentral:rRNA from 1 species